CCCAACCGCUACUGGCUAUCUGCAGCCACUGGGUCCAACAUCCAGAUUUGGGAUCUGGAGGGCAAGAUCAUUGUGGAUGAGUUAAAACAGGAAGUGAUUAAAACCAGCAGCAAAGCUGAACCCCCACAAUGCACUUCUCUUGCCUGGUCAGCUGAUGGACAGACUCUCUUCGCUGGAUAUACAGACAACCUUAUCAGAGUCUGGCAGGGUACAUCUGGUACCCAAUAAAUGCAUGGACAACCUGAAGACCAAUUAUAGCAUGGAAUCUGUUCAAUGUCACGCUCACAGAAUUCUUUAUUCUAUAAACU